ensembl:lncRNA
GCUCUGAGUCAUCCCCUGGGACCCAGGAUGAUAGAGCAGCUACUUUCUGGAAAUUUGGUGGCUACCUGGGCAGUAGGUUAAUAGAGUUUGGUGAAGAAAGGGUUUUCUCUUAAAGCUUCUGACCGUAAGUGUUGUCACUUGGGUAGAAAUGUGUACUUCAUUGGCCAGAGAGUCACCGGAUCACAAACAGUUUUGGCUGAAAGACAUGUGAGAUCUUAUAUCCCCGACCAGGGUUUGAACCCACAUGCCCUGCACUGGAAACUGAAGUCUUACCCACUGGACCACCAG